rnacentral:tRNA from 1 species
UUUUCUAAUAUGGCAGAUUAGUGCAUUGGAUUUAAACCCCAAAAAUAAAGUCUAAACUUUUUUUAGAA